rnacentral:misc_RNA from 1 species
UUUACGACCCGGGGCGGACUUGGACUUGGGUGUCUGCCAUCUUCACGUUGGCUCGCCUCAAAUGACUUAGUGGGAUCAGCAUCCACAGCUUUGACGUAAUAAGUUUCGUCUGGCUAGGUGUGAGGCCCGCUUCUAACCCGCCGCGAGGCAACAUUUUUGACUCUGACCUCAAAUCAGGUAGGGCUACCCGCUGAACUUAA